AUGUGCCCAGGCGUGGCGCUCGGCCUCGCCAACAUGGAGCUGCUGCUCGCCAGCCUUCUCUACCACUUCAACUGGGAGCUCCCCGCCGGCGGGACACCGGAGGAGCUCGAUAUGUCUGAGGUGUUUGGCAUCGCCGUCAGCAGGAAGUCCAAGCUCGUGUUGCGCGCUAUGGAGCAUACCACAUUCGAAAAUUAA
rnacentral:rRNA from 1 species